AGCAGUAGCCGCGGUAAUACGAAGGGGGCUAGCGUUGCUCGGAAUCACUGGGCGUAAAGGGUGCGUAGGCGGGUCUCUAAGUCAGGGGUGAAAUCCUGGAGCUCAACUCCAGAACUGCCUUUGAUACUGAAGAUCUUGAGUUCGGGAGAGGUGAGUGGAACUGCGAGUGUAGAGGUGAAAUUCGUAGAUAUUCGCAAGAACACCAGUGGCGAAGGCGGCUCACUGGCCCGAUACUGACGCUGAGGCACGAAAGCGUGGGGAGCAAACAGGAUUAGAUACCCCGGUAGUCCCUGUCUCUUAUAC
rnacentral:rRNA from 1 species